GACGAACGCUGGCGGCGUGCUUAACACAUGCAAGUCGAACGGAAAGGCCCUGCUUUUGUGGGGUGCUCGAGUGGCGAACGGGUGAGUAACACGUGAGUAACCUGCCCUUGACUUUGGGAUAACUUCAGGAAACUGGGGCUAAUACCGGAUAGGAGCUCCUGCUGCAUGGUGGGGGUUGGAAAGUUUCGGCGGUUGGGGAUGGACUCGCGGCUUAUCAGCUUGUUGGUGGGGUAGUGGCUUACCAAGGCUUUGACGGGUAGCCGGCCUGAGAGGGUGACCGGCCACAUUGGGACUGAGAUACGGCCCAGACUCCUACGGGAGGCAGCAGUGGGGAAUAUUGCACAAUGGGCGGAAGCCUGAUGCAGCAACGCCGCGUGCGGGAUGACGGCCUUCGGGUUGUAAACCGCUUUCGCCUGUGACGAAGCGUGAGUGACGGUAAUGGGUAAAGAAGCACCGGCUAACUACGUGCCAGCAGCCGCGGUGAUACGUAGGGUGCGAGCGUUGUCCGGAUUUAUUGGGCGUAAAGGGCUCGUAGGUGGUUGAUCGCGUCGGAAGUGUAAUCUUGGGGCUUAACCCUGAGCGUGCUUUCGAUACGGGUUGACUUGAGGAAGGUAGGGGAGAAUGGAAUUCCUGGUGGAGCGGUGGAAUGCGCAGAUAUCAGGAGGAACACCAGUGGCGAAGGCGGUUCUCUGGGCCUUUCCUGACGCUGAGGAGCGAAAGCGUGGGGAGCGAACAGGCUUAGAUACCCUGGUAGUCCACGCUGUAAACGGUGGGUACUAGGUGUGGGGUCCAUUCCACGGGUUCCGUGCCGUAGCUAGCGCUUUAAGUACCCCGCCUGGGGAGUACGGCCGCAAGGCUAAAACUCAAAGGAAUUGACGGGGCCCCGCACAAGCGGCGGAGCAUGCGGAUUAAUUCGAUGCAACGCGUAGAACCUUACCUGGGUUUGACAUGGAUCGGGAGCGCUCAGAGAUGGGUGUGCCUCUUUUGGGGUCGGUUCACAGGUGGUGCAUGGCUGUCGUCAGCUCGUGUCGUGAGAUGUUGGGUUAAGUCCCGCAACGAGCGCAACCCUUGUUCACUGUUGCCAGCACGUUAUGGUGGGGACUCAGUGGAGACCGCCGGGGUCAACUCGGAGGAAGGUGGGGAUGACGUCAAGUCAUCAUGCCCCUUAUGUCCAGGGCUUCACGCAUGCUACAAUGGCUGGUACAGAGAGUGGCGAGCCUGUGAGGGUGAGCGAAUCUCGGAAAGCCGGUCUCAGUUCGGAUUGGGGUCUGCAACUCGACCUCAUGAAGUCGGAGUCGCUAGUAAUCGCAGAUCAGCAACGCUGCGGUGAAUACGUUCCCGGGGCU
rnacentral:rRNA from 1 species